UCAUCAUAUAGCCCAGGCUGAGCUGGAACA
rnacentral:piRNA from 1 species